rnacentral:rRNA from 1 species
UACGAAGGGGGGCUAGCGUUGCUCGGAAUCACUGGGCGUAAAGGGUGCGUAGGCGGGUCUUUAAGUCAGGGGUGAAAUCCUGGAGCUCAACUCCAGAACUGCCUUUGAUACUGAGGAUCUUGAGUUCGGGAGAGGUGAGUGGAACUGCGAGUGUAGAGGUGAAAUUCGUAGAUAUUCGCAAGAACACCAGUGGCGAAGGCGGCUCACUGGCCCGAUACCGACGCUGAGGCACGAAAGCGUGGGGGAGCAAACAGG